CCCCUCUCUGAACUGCUGAGUGAGCACUCAGAAGGGAGGGAAACAGCGACACAGAAGUCAGAAACUUGUGAAUGAGGAGCAACAAUGCAGGGACAGCACAAAGGAGACAGGAAAAGGAGAGGAUAGUGCAACCGGGCUAGAGGCAGGAAGUCAGAGUGAGGGAGAGACAGGAGUGGAGCAACAGGGAGUUCAGACUAGGGACACACAGCUGAGAGACUCUGAAGUCAGUGGACAGAGAACAGAACCAAAUCAGCCACAUCCAAAAUUCAUAGACCCUCAAGCUCUAGCCAACAGAACUUUACAUUUCCAAGGAAAGUGGUACAAGGAAUUUCCCUGGCUACAUUAUGAUGCAGUGAAAAAGGGCAUUUUGUGUUUUUAUUGCAUGGCAAUUUACCAGGACAAACUCACACCAUUUGGUGCAAAAUCCGAACCCGCCUUUAUCACUUCUGGAUUUAAAAAUUGGAAAAAAGCAUUCGAAAAAUUUAAAGCACAUGAAAAUAGUCACUCACAUCAUCAUGCUGUUUCUGUGACUGCACAAGAAAGUCAUCCUAUAAAUGCCCAAUUAUCCAGUGCUUUGGCAACUCAGCAAGGUGACAAUAGGCACUGUCUGGAGAAAAUUGUGAGCUCCAUAAAAUAUUUGGCACGCCAGGGACAAGCUUUGAGAGGGCAUGACGAUGAUGACAGCAAUUUGUAUCAACUGUUGAAAAAUCUGGCAGAAGAUGAUGCCCUUUUGGCUAAGUGGUUGCUGAGGUCUCAGAAAGAAUACCUAAGUCCACAGAUACAGAAUGAAAUCUUGUGUUCUAUGAGCAAUAGUAUUGUCAGUGAAAUAGCAGAUACAAUCAGAAACCUACCAAUUUUUGAGUUUGCAAUUAUUAUGGAUGGAACACAGGACAU